CUACGGGUCGCUGCAGGCGCGAAACCUUUACAAUGCACGCAAGUGUGAUAAGGGGAUCCUAAGUGCUCAUGCAUUGCAUGGGCUUUUGCUAAGAGUAAAUAUCUUGGCGAAUAAGUGGUGGGUAAGACUGGUGCCAGCCGCCGCGGUAACACCAGCGCCACGAGUGGCAACCGCGUUUAUUGGGCCUAAAGCGUCCGUAGCCGGCUAGGUAAAUUUCUCGUGAAAUCGUCAGGCUCAACCUGACGGCGUGCUUGAAACACUGCCUAGCUUGAGACCGGGAGGAGUCAGAGGUAUUCCAGGGGGAGCGGUAGAAUGUGAUAAUCCCUGGAGGAUCACCUAUGGCGAAGGCAUCUGACCAGAACGGAUCUGACGGUCAGGGACGAAGGCUAGGGGAGCGAUCCGGAUUAGAUACCCCAGUAGUC
rnacentral:rRNA from 1 species